AGUGAACGCUGGCGGUAGGCCUAACACAUGCGAGUCGAACGGCAGCACAGUAAGAGCUUGCUCUUACGGGUAGCGAGUGGCGGUCGGGUGAGGAAUACAUCGGAAUCUACUUUUUCGUGGGGGAUAACGUAGGGAAACUUACGCUAAUACCGCAUACGACCUACGGGUGAAAGCAGGGGAUCUUCGGACCUUGCGCGAUUGAAUGAGCCGAUGUCGGAUUAGCUAGUUGGCGGGGUAAAGGCCCACCAAGGCGACGAUCCGUAGCUGGUCUGAGAGGAUGAUCAGCCACACUGGAACUGAGACACGGUCCAGACUCCUACGGGAGGCAGCAGUGGGGAAUAUUGGACAAUGGGCGCAAGCCUGAUCCAGCCAUACCGCGUGGGUGAAGAAGGCCUUCGGGUUGUAAAGCCCUUUUGUUGGGAAAGAAAAGCAGCAGGUUAAUACCCCGCUGUUCUGACGGUACCCAAAGAAUAAGCACCGGCUAACUUCGUG
rnacentral:rRNA from 1 species